rnacentral:rRNA from 1 species
CACCGCGGUUAAACGGGAGGCUCAAGUUGAUAGACAUCGGCGUAAAGCGUGGUUAAGGGCCCAACUUUUAUACUAAAGCCGAACGCUCUUAGAGCAGUUAUACGUACUGAGAGUAAGAAGAUCAAUUACGAAAGUAGCUUUACUCAAACCUGACCCCACGAAAGCUAAGGCA